ensembl:snoRNA
AUUCUUUUGUAGUUGAUAAGCAUGAUGACUGGAGUUUCAUGUGCAUGUGUGAGACGUACCUCCCUCCAACCUUGUUACCACAUCUGCACAUUACCUGCCUGAUG